rnacentral:rRNA from 1 species
UUUCGCAAUGCCCGAAAGGGUGACGAAGCGACGCCGCGUGAGUGAGGAAGGCCUUCGGGUUGUAAAGCUCUGUCAGGAGUUAAGAAAUAUAAGUGUGUUAAUACCACAUUUAUUUGACGAAGGCUCCAAAGGAAGCCACGGCUAACUCUGUGCCAGCAGCCGCGGUAAUACAGAGGUGGCAAGCGUUGUUCGGAAUUAUUGGGCGUAAAGAGCACGUAGGUGGGUUUGUAAGUCAGAUGUGAAAGCCUUCUGUUCAACGGAGGAAUUGCAUCUGAAACUGCGAGUCUUGAGUGUAGGAGGGGAGAAUGGAACUUCUGGUGGAGCGGUGAAAUGCGUAGAUAUCAGAAGGAACGCCGGCGGCGAAAGCGAUUCUCUGGCCUAUUACUGACACUCAGUGUGCGAAAGCUAGGGGAGCAAACGGGAUUAGAUACCCCGGUAGUCCUAGCUGUAAACGAUGGGCACUAAGUAGAGGGGUUUUA